GUCUGUGGCCAUACUACCCGGAAUGCCCCAGAUCCUGUCUGAUCUCAGAAGUUAAGUAGGGUCGGGCCUGGUUAGUACUUGGAUGGGAAAGGAGAGAGUCUGUACACACCUGGGAAGGAAAGGUUAAUUCAGGUG
rnacentral:rRNA from 1 species